UACGUAGGGUGCGAGCGUUGUCCGGAAUUAUUGGGCGUAAAGAGCUCGUAGGCGGCCUGUCGCGUCGGAUGUGAAAGCCCGGGGCUUAACCCCGGGUCUGCAUUCGAUACGGGCAGGCUAGAGUGCGGUAGGGGAGACUGGAAUUCCCGGUGUAGUGGUGAAAUGCGUAGAUAUCGGGAGGAACACCAGUGGCGAAGGCGAGUAGCUGGCCUGUAACUGACGCUGAGGCGCGAAGGCUAGGGGAGCGAACAGG
rnacentral:rRNA from 1 species